GCCACUCAGCACUGAUGUUAAAGACCAAAGGUUUUCCUCCAGACAGUUGGCAUCACCAAAUUGUGUCUCUUUGUUCGCCUGUCCAAACCCCAUUUCAACUUUCCAAGAGGUCUUUUCAUCCCACACGAAGUCUGCCACAUUACAUUGCUGUUCCUGAGACUGUUGCUAUUUCUGAGACUGACAGGAUGCCAGCUGAAGAGGCCCUCAGUCACUAAGGAACAAUUAACUGGUGACACUGGCAAUUAUGUCUGUAUUGAUCACCUGGCUCUUCAGGUUCAUUCAGAGAUUCUUCUCCUUGGUAUUGUCUGUACUGUGAGCCUAACAGAGAAGCAAAGAAACCUGAAGAGAAGCUCAGUGGCUGCUGCACAAAGCGCAGGCUGAGGACUCCUGGGGGCAGCAGCCAGCUCUCUCCCGUGCUUGCACAGCUCCACACGCUGCAGCUGGGGUUAAUGAGCCUGUGAUAACAGCAAUAACCUAAACAAUAAAAGCUGAUCACUGAUCCUGAGAUCAGGAGAGCAGGCCAAUAGAGCAACCUGCCUCCUUGGCUUACUCAAUGUUUUGGCAAGAAGUGCAAUGUAGGCCAGGUCAAAUCAAAUCAUAAUUCAGUCCAAAUCUGAAUAAUGCACCAGCACAGUUCAGGAGAAAAAAGGAAACAGUGUGAUUUUCAUGGUCAAGAGCUAAGAUGGCACUGUGGGUACCUUCUCUGGCAGUCGGGGGAACUAUCAUGGGAUUUAAACCAAUAAAAUGAGUAAACCAGAAACCCUGGUCUUGGUCUGUGUAAGUCAUUGCACUAUAUUUAAUGUACUUGCUGCUUUCAGUUUAUCAGGUGACCUAGACAGUAUUAAACUGUA